rnacentral:piRNA from 1 species
CUGGAAAUUAUUUAUUAGCACUUUACAGGA